GACGAACGCUGGCGGCGUGCCUAAUACAUGCAAGUAGAACGCUGAAGGAGGAGCUUGCUUCUCUGGAUGAGUUGCGAACGGGUGAGUAACGCGUAGGUAACCUGCCUGGUAGCGGGGGAUAACUAUUGGAAACGAUAGCUAAUACCGCAUAAGAGUAGAUGUUGCAUGACAUUUGCUUAAAAGGUGCAAUUGCAUCACUACCAGAUGGACCUGCGUUGUAUUAGGUAGUUGGUGGGGUAACGGCUCACCAAGGCGACGAUACAUAGCCGACCUGAGAGGGUGAUCGGCCACACUGGGACUGAGACACGGCCCAGACUCCUACGGGAGGCAGCAGUAGGGAAUCUUCGGCAAUGGACGGAAGUCUGACCGAGCAACGCCGCGUGAGUGAAGAAGGUUUUCGGAUCGUAAAGCUCUGUUGUAAGAGAAGAACGAGUGUGAGAGUGGAAAGUUCACACUGUGACGGUAUCUUACCAGAAAGGGACGGCUAACUACGUG
rnacentral:rRNA from 1 species